UAAUCUUUUUCCUGAAUGGGAGAACAGGACAACCAUGAGGAAAAUGUUUUAAAUGAGCUACCUUAUUCUGUGAUUCUUCUGGUGCUAGCUGGAGAAAAAUAACACCCAAGGAAUACUUCUCUGGAAUGACAGAACAUCCCAGUUUGGACUGAGAGAGAAAGUGGGCCAGCUCUAUGCUUCACCUAGAACCUACGUCAGAGUGAACAGCGAUAAAAAUUUCCAAGUCAGCACCAUUUUUCUCCAGAAACCUGUCCUACAUACAUUACAUUGAUGUGAAGUCAGAGGAGAUAAUUAUGUGAAGACACUUUGUAAA
rnacentral:lncRNA from 1 species